AGUGGACGUAUAGGGUGUGACGCCUGCCCGGUGCCGGAAGAUUAAAUGAUGGGUGCAAGCUCUUGAUUGAAGUCCCGGUAAACGGCGGCCGUAACUAUAACGGUCCUAAGGUAGCGAAAUUCCUUGUCGGGUAAGUUCCGACCUGCACGAAUGGCGUAACGAUGGCCACACUGUCUCCUCCCGAGACUCAGCGAAGUUGAAGUGUUUGUGAUGAUGCAAUCUACCCGCGGCUAGACGGAAAGACCCCAUGAACCUUCACUGUAGCUUUGCAUUGGACUUUGAACCGAUCUGUGUAGGAUAGGUGGGAGGCUAUGAAACCGGAACGCUAGUUUCGGUGGAGCCGUCCUUGAAAUACCACCCUGGUUUGUUUGAGGUUCUAACCUUGGCCCGUGAUCCGGGUCGGGGACAGUGCAUGGUAGGCAGUUUGACUGGGGCGGUCUCCUCCCAAAGCGUAACGGAGGAGUACGAAGGUACGCUAGGUACGGUCGGAAAUCGUGCUGAUAGUGCAAUGGCAUAAGCGUGCUUAACUGCGAGACCGACAAGUCGAGCAGGUGCGAAAGCAGGUCAUAGUGAUCCGGUGGUUCUGUAUGGAAGGGCCAUCGCUCAACGGAUAAAAGGUACUCUGGGGAUAACAGGCUGAUACCGCCCAAGAGUUCAUAUCGACGGCGGUGUUUGGCACCUCGAUGUCGGCUCAUCUCAUCCUGGGGCUGUAGCCGGUCCCAAGGGUAUGGCUGUUCGCCAUUUAAAGAGGUACGUGAGCUGGGUUUAAAACGUCGUGAGACAGUUUGGUCCCUAUCUGCCGUGGGCGUUGGAUAUUUGAAGGGGGCUGCUCCUAGUACGAGAGGACCGGAGUGGACGAACCUCUGGUGUACCGGUUGUCACGCCAGUGGCAUCGCCGGGUAGCUAUGUUCGGAAGAGAUAACCGCUGAAAGCAUCUAAGCGGGAAACUCGCCUUAAGAUGAGAUAUCCCUGGGGACUAGAUCCCCUUGAAGGGUCGUUCGAGACCAAUACGUUGAUAGGUCAGGUGUGUAAGCGCAGUAAUGCGUUCAGCUAACUGAUACUAAUUGCCCGUAAGGCUUGAUCCU
rnacentral:rRNA from 1 species